rnacentral:misc_RNA from 1 species
UCCCAGUCUAGCUCAGGAUUAAGAAGUGAGACCGCACUGAUAAUAAAUGCAGCAACUGCUCCAAAACCCACAAGAGAGUUCAUAUUAGGUGCUCCCUUCCUGAAUGCCCUCAGACCGUCAAAAAGUAGUUCUCGUCCUGGUCCUAAAAGAGCAACCAAAGCAAAAAGACCCUUCGCAUAUGAGUUAUGAAGUAUCUCCAUCAGUG